AACGAACGCUGGCGGCGCGCCUAAUACAUGCAAGUCGAGCGAGAAGGCGUAGCAAUACGUUUGUAAAGCGGCGAACGGGUGAGGAAUACAUGGGUAACCUACCCUCGAGUGGGGAAUAACUAGCCGAAAGGUUAGCUAAUACCGCAUACGACUCUCGGUCUGCGGAUCGAGAGGGAAAGCGAUACCGUGGGUAUCGCGCUCCUGGAUGGGCUCAUGUCCUAUCAGCUUGUUGGUGAGGUAACGGCUCACCAAGGCUUCGACGGGUAGCUGGUCUGAGAGGACGAUCAGCCACACUGGCACUGCGAAACGGGCCAGACUCCUACGGGAGGCAGCAGUAAGGAAUAUUGCGCAAUGGGCGACAGCCUGACGCAGCGACGCCGCGUGGGGGAUGAAGGUCUUCGGAUUGUAAACCCCUUUCGGCAGGGAAGAUGGAGCGGGUAACCGCUCGGACGGUACCUGCAGAAGCAGCCACGGCUAACUUCGUGCCAGCAGCCGCCGUAAUAC
rnacentral:rRNA from 1 species